GUAACCAGAAAAAUGCUGUAUAUAUGGAUGCGGGGCAAAUGUCUUGCAACUAGGUUGGGCAGUAAAACAAUUGGGGAGAUUUCUGUGAAGUUGAAGGCAUUGACACCUUACACUCCAACUGAGUUCAGUCGCAAACCCAGGGAACUCGCAGAAAUUGAUAGGUGGAAAGCAACAGAGCUCCGGUAUUUUAUGCUAUACGCUGGCCCUGUAGUGCUGAGAGAUACGAUUCCUUUGGAGAUGUUUAACAACUUUAUGUUGUUUUCUGUUGCUAUGCAUCUCCUUUUGUCUCCUGGGACAUCAGAGAAAAUGGUGGACUGUGCUCACAAAUUGCUAAUUUCAUUUGUGAGUCACUUUGGGCAGCUAUAUGGCAGAACUGAAAUAACUUACAAUGUCCACCAGCUGACACACCUGGCAGCGGAAUAUCAUCUUUAUGGUCCCUUAGAUAACAUUGCUGCCUUUGCUUAUGAGAACUAUUUGGCCCAACUGAAACAUUUACUGUGCAAACCUCAUUUGCCUUUACAGCAAAUAGUUAAAAGGCUUUCUGAAAGAGACCCUCAGACACCCCAAAUCAACAAAGGCCAUAAAUUCAUGCACCUCCAUCAUGAUGGUCCAUUGGUGCCUCAUUUGGGACAUGGGGAUCAGUAUAGAAAGGUUGUAACUAAAGAUUUCACCUUAUCAUGUAGGUUUGGGGAUAAUUGCAUUCAGAUAGUUGAGGACAUCGCUCUUGUUGACAACAUAAUCAAAGUAGCUGAGGAAACAUAUGUGAUCUUCCGGAAAUUCACAAAGAAGGAAUCAUAUGUCCAAUACCCAUUCGAAUCAGCCAUCAUUGGCUGUUACAAAGUGUGGGACUUAAGCAGCGGUGUUGGUGUUGUAAAGCUCCAAAUAAUAAAAAACAAAUAUAUACUUUUCCCCGAUAAAAAAGAGUUCAUAGCCAUUCCCCUCAUACAUACAAAGUAAAUCAUUUUUGUACAAAUCAGUUCAGAAAAAUCAGUUCAGUUCAUAAACAUCAGUUCAUGUGUUAAUAACCAAACAUUAUCUUUACCAUAAAAAUAGUAUGAAGCAGUGGUGCCUUGUAAAGUUCCACAGUGGUGGAACAGAAGUUGUGCCACACAUAUGGCUUCAGGGGGAGAAGGUUUUCUGGCCUCCAUACCCUCUAAAAGAGUCUGGCAAGGUUCGUGCUGCCAUCAGGAGGAGGGAGGAACCUAAAGAAAAUUGGCAGACUUAUGAGCCUGUCAGGGUCCUCAUAAGCCGAGAUACCUUUGAGGAAGCAGAGAGGUGCCUGGAGAGGUAUUUGAAGCAGCAAUGCGACACCACUGAUAUCCAGUCAGAGGAGGAGAGCCAACAGCCUCAGAAAAGGAGAAAGAAACCAAACCUAAUCUACAAGAAUUCAGAUGACUGAUGAAGAUCAACCUCGGAGUAAAUAUCCCCAAGCUCCAAAAAUGUUGUUCCCAGACCAACAGCCUCCAGCCCUCUGCAUUCUCCCUCUCCAUCCUCCCAACUCCAACCUCUAGCCCCAGUAAAUUUCCAGACCACUUUUAACCCAACCAGCUACCAAACCCUGCCCGCCCCAGCCAGCUGCCAGUCUCCGCUGCCCUACCCCAACAGCCAACCCAUUACCUUCUAUGCUGAAGAGUUUCAGUUGCCAGUGGCUUCUGCCGGUACUCCCCGGUGUGCACCCAAUUUCUCUCCAGAAGACUCAAGAGACUCUGCCAAGC